UGCCAACCUCUCCGUAAAGCGUUCUGUGGGGCUGUGAGAGUAAACAAUUUUUAAAGUCUGACAGCAUUACACCUUCAUGUGUCUGCAGUGGAAAGAUUGCACCUUGUUCUCCGAGGAGUGUCGGCAGGAAGGAGCAGCUGAACAGGAAAUGGAAAAAGUUAACACACUUACAGCCUGUCGCAGGCAUCUCACGACGCCGUUAGACACAAAGGAGGGGGAGAUGACAUUUUAGAGAUGGAAGACUGGCUUGAUUCGAAGCCCAGAUAAACACGAUUAAAUCACAAAACUUGGCAGCUGUCGUGACUUUUGUGGAAAAGACGUUCUGCUUACAAACUCGUUAUUUUUAUUUUUAGAUUCAAUGAAAACACAUUAGUUCAAGGGAUCUACGGAGAGAACUGCAGCCACAAUUUUCAGGUCAUGAAUAUGAGCAAAUUCCAACAUUCACGCAAAACUCCUGAGAAAAUAUCAACUGGCCACCAAAAAUGUUACUAAUAUUAUUUUUUUUGUUUGCUUGUUUUUUGUUUCUCAUUUAGGAAUUUUGCAUCGCUUGUUUAAACUAUGGGCAACAAAUACCAAGUACCUUCAUUCAUUCUCAUUUGUUUGCCACUAACAUAAUCAAAAAUAAGCCUUAUUGUGACUAAAGAAUACGAGAAUUGUCUUUUAAGUGAAAUUUUGAAAUGUGCUCAGCUUCCUAAGUUGUUUAAAUUCCCUGGAUAAAUCCUCCAGACACAUACAUUGUUUUUGCUCCUAUUUUUUGUGGAUGGGGUGAAGAUGAUUGCCGAUUUAACUAAGCUAUUAAAUGUGAAACAGUGGUUGCAAGUUUGUCACCACUGACUUAUCAGUAGGUCAGACAGGAAGCUUGAAUCACUGUUAGUUGACAGAUUUAACAGAUUGAGUGUUAGGUGGUGGGCUACACUUUUAUAAGCAGGACGGUGUUUAUCUUUGUUUUCUCUUAAUGGUGUCAGUGUGGUGCGUGAGAAUCAGCUUCAAAAGAUGGUUCAGGUCAUCUUGCAUCUGAAAGAUAGAAAUCUGUGUGUUUGCUGACUCAGAGAAGACAGUAGACGGAGAGGAAAGAACCACAAUCUGUUUAGUGUGCAGAUGCAUGAAGAUGGCACAGCAACAAAACAUGCAUACAUGCUUUGCUUCAGUUAAACCAGUGGGUGUCAAAUUCAUUUUAGUUCAAGGGGGCCAGUUUGAUCUUGAGUAAGUCGGACCCGGACCAGAGGACAUGAUCUUUCUUUUUCUCCACUGACUGAAGAGAAGUACCAGCAAAAAGGACUGGACAUCAGCAGAUCAGCAGGGAGUUAGAGACGUUUGUCUCAGUGAGGGACAAGAGGACACUGGAUAAACACCAGACUAUAGGGGGCAGCGGAGGGAGCUCUUUCUCCAACAUCCUCAUCCAGCUCCACUCCCACAGUCAAUGCUACAGGACGUCAUUUAUACCGAACUCUAUCCAGCUGUAAAAUAACUCACCUUUCUGUAACAAAUAGGUCAAUGUUAUUACUGAACCUUAUUUAUCCUUCCUAUGUAAAAAAAUAAAAAUACAGCCCAUACAUUUGUGAAAUAUCGCAUUAAGAAUCACUCUUAGGUCUCCAGGUGCAAUUUCUUUUCAUACAGUCACGGACAAAAUACUAAACAAAUCCUAAAACAGCCAAUAAAAACUUAAAAUUGAUUGGUUCCAUAAACAUACGUACGAAAUUUUGAAUAUUUUUGGCAUUUGGUCCCAAUGAUCCACUGUCUCUUAAUAAAAGACACAAUUUUUGUUUUUCGCUUUGAACUUAUGAAAGUUCUUCACAGACAAUAACGACUAAAACAUGGAACCUAACGCUGGAAACAACAGUUUAUUCAUUUUCUGUUUAGUUUUGAACACAUUCUCUGUUAUUUGUUGACUUUGAUACCGACAAUGUUGAGAAGUGACGCGUUGAAACUGUUAAGAAUUUGGUUUUGUUAGUUUUCCUUGAAAACAAUCAACAACAAAAAAAUAUAUAUAUAUAAUUUGUAUUUGUUUGUGAAGCCUAAUGCAGCUACACCCUCUGAAACAUAAAUAUUUCAUGAAAAUAUUUGAGAUGUGUAAAAUUUGUGUAAAAUUUUAAGGGUGUCCAAAAGCUUUUUUCCACCACUGUAUAUGAUAUAUAUUUACUUGUGUCUCUUUGUCUUGUACAUUUGUUUAUAUGCAAAUCUUACACUAUUUUACUUUAUUUUAUCAGAUAUUUACUUAUAUUUUAUUCUGAUUUAUUUUACUUUAUUUUCAUUUUUACUUAUGGUUUUAGUAGUGUAGUGUUUUUUAUGUGAAACUGAGGUGCUGGGACCAAGUCUCCUCCCUCGUGGAUGAUUAAGUCUAAUGCUAACAUGGUUAUGACGGUAAUGCUAAUAUGCUAAAAUGCUUUUGGGGUGUAAUGUUUACUUUUUUUAGCCUUAACUUGAUUUUCGCGUAGUCGACUUCUGACGUUGUGCAUUUUAGACUUUUUAAAAAAUAUCAUAACCACCUACAACAAAGAUAAGGCACCAACAUAUCCAAAUAUUAUCAUCACAAUAAGUGAUUAAACAGCAUCAACACGUAGGAAAACUUAAAA